UACGUAGGGUGCAAGCGUUGUCCGGAAUUAUUGGGCGUAAAGAGCUCGUAGGCGGUUUGUCGCGUCUGCUGUGAAAACCUAAGGCUCAACCUUGGGCUUGCAGUGGGUACGGGGCAGACUAGAGUGCGGUAGGGGUGACUGGAAUUCCUGGUGUAGCGGUGGAAUGCGCAGAUAUCAGGAGGAACACCGAUGGCGAAGGCAGGUCACUGGGCCGCAACUGACGCUGGAGGAGCGAAAGCAUGGGGAGCGAACAGG
rnacentral:rRNA from 1 species